CCGUGCUAAGUGGGGGAGUAGCGGAACCCUGUACCUGCAAUCCGCUCUAGCAGGGCCUAGAUCCGUUUUUGAGGCUGUCCACAUUAUGGUCUGCCUUUUAUAUUCUCGUGUUGAGAGUUCGGUCCUAUGCAAUAGGACGUUGUGAACCAUGUCAGGACCGGAAGGUAGCAGCAUUAAGCAACUCAUCUUAUGUGCCGUAGGGUUGCCGAACUUGAGCGAGGUAUAGAAGUAACGCUUGAUGUGGCUGUCGAGAUAACGGUGCACG
rnacentral:SRP_RNA from 1 species